rnacentral:rRNA from 1 species
AUGACAUGUGUGGUUGAUGCACCCAUCCCCUUCACAGAAGCUAUCAAAAUUUUGGGUGUGCCUAGUGAGCGGGGUGUUUGUUUAACCACUCCGCCUCCCCCUAUUGCAAAAACUGAUGAAGCUCCUCUCAGUGGUAUUUCCCCUGUUUCAACGCAGAAAACAUAUUGCUCCAAACUGCUGAGAGAUACGGACAACUUUGUGUCUGAUACUACGAGUGAAAUUGAGGGCUCGGAAAAUGAGAUGGACACAUUUGAAGCUCCUGUAAUCAACUGCUUGAAGAUGAUGGAACUGGGGACAGACACCGUGACUACUGCCAACAUACCUCCCCCUCCUACUGGCAAGAAAACUAGUACCAACAAGUGGGGUCUAGUGGUUGCUCCAAGGCCUAGUACCAGAACACAAAACAGACAGAAUAUGAUUGAGAAAGCUGUUGAGUAUAAAAUGAGGAAGAGCCUGGAGAUCCCUAUCACCUUCAAAAGACGUGCCAUGGACAAGUACUCGUGCAAUAUUGGGAAGGGCCAGCUCUUUACCUCAUCAAUGGAAAAUCCUGUGUGA